ACCAGUCUGAGCUGCUUCUGCUGAGGCUGGUCUGCUUGAAGCCUCCCAGGAGAAAGAAGCCAGGUGGGAAUGGAGAGAGAGAGGAAGCCUGUAGGGUCCAGCGUCAAAGCGAAUCAUGGGGUCCAGGGCUGAGCUGUGCACUCUCUUAGGCGGAUUCUCCUUCCUCCUGCUACUGAUACCAGGCGAGGGGGCCAAGGGUGGAUCCCUCAGAGAGAGUCAGGGAGUCUGCUCCAAGCAGACACUGGUGGUCCCGCUCCACUACAACGAGUCCUACAGCCAACCAGUGUACAAGCCCUACCUGACCUUGUGCGCUGGGAGGCGCAUCUGCAGCACUUACAGGACCAUGUACCGCGUUAUGUGGCGGGAGGUGAGGCGGGAGGUUCAGCAGACCCAUGCAGUGUGCUGCCAGGGCUGGAAGAAGCGGCACCCGGGGGCGCUCACCUGUGAAGCCAUCUGCGCCAAGCCUUGCCUGAACGGAGGCGUCUGCGUUAGGCCUGACCAGUGCGAGUGCGCCCCCGGCUGGGGAGGGAAGCACUGUCAUGUGGACGUGGAUGAAUGUAGGACCAGCAUCACCCUCUGCUCGCACCAUUGUUUUAAUACGGCAGGCAGCUUCACCUGCGGCUGCCCCCAUGACCUAGUGCUAGGCGUGGACGGGCGCACCUGCAUGGAGGGGUCCCCAGAGCCCCCAACCAGUGCCAGCAUACUCAGCGUGGCCGUUCGGGAGGCGGAAAAAGAUGAGCGCGCUCUGAAGCAGGAGAUUCACGAGCUGCGAGGGCGCCUGGAGCGGCUGGAGCAGUGGGCCGGUCAGGCUGGGGCCUGGGUCAGAGCGGUGCUGCCCGUGCCGCCUGAAGAGCUGCAGCCAGAACAGGUGGCUGAGCUGUGGGGCCGGGGUGACCGGAUCGAAUCUCUCAGCGACCAGGUGCUGCUGCUGGAGGAGAGGCUAGGUGCCUGCUCCUGUGAGGACAACAGCCUGGGCCUCGGCGUCAAUCAUCGAUAAGAAGCCUCUACAGCACCCCUGCCCCCUAAUUUAUACAGAAACCGGACCCACUAAUCCUCUGGGAUUGGCCGACUGUGAGCUGCAGAUAAGGCUAUCAGCCACCAAAGAGCAAUGAACAAUGGAAACUUCAGAGAGCUGAAGAAAGGGGGAGGCCUGUGUUCUUGGCCUGCCCCUGAGUCUUCUGGCUGGGGGCAGGUUGCCUGGGCAAGAACUGCUUCUUCAAUUCCUUAACAAAUGCAACCACCAACACCCAGAUCUCUCUCUCUCUUUAUUUUCAGUUUUUUUGCUGUUAUCCAGAUAAUUAAUAAAAACCAACCACGCAAAA